rnacentral:lncRNA from 1 species
UUGAAUAUUAUAGAAUUUUACACAUAUGUGUAUUGAGAGCUUUGUCUCUUGUGGUUCUGGAUUGAACCAUCCUUGAUCUUAUCAAGAAAUCAUAUUUCUUGUGGCGAUCCUCGCAUCCAUAGACUUAUCGCUUUCUUGGAUUAGAAAGUGUGGCGUCCCUGUCUAUCCAUUCCAUUUCUUCAGUUUUAGUCUUUUCACCAU